CUGCCUUCAUGGUCGGUGGUGCAGUUUGUCCUGUGACUCUUUCUUCCUGUGGUUCACCUGCUGCUGUUUUUUUUUUUGUGUAUGCCAGUUGCUGUUUUUGUUUAGGCCAGUUAACUGUUUGGUUUAUUCUGUUUUGAUUUAGUUUAUAUUGUUUGUUUAUAUUUAGCUUUUUUUGCUUGUUUUGUUUAUAUUGACUGGGUUAGCUUGUUUUGCCUUUCUCUUUAUAGUUUAGUUUCAGUUUAGUCUUUGUUUAGCCAACUGGGGUUCCUCUUUGUUUGUUUAACCUUGUUUUCAGUUAUUUAUUUUCCGUUUGUAAAGCUGAGUGCCGGUCACUGGGGGGGCUAGUCACCCUCAUUAUUUGUUGUGGUGAAGAUCACCGGGAAGCACGAGUGAGUGACCUGUUUGCUGUGUGUGGUUUUCUGUGGCUGCACCUGAUGAGUAUUUGGUUGCACCCUAGUGUCACGAGGAGUAGCCUGCCACCCCAUUAACUGGCCUCAGCUCACUUUAGAUUUAGUUACUUGUUUUUAUAGAAACAAGAAACUUUAAAUGUUACAUUUUAGAUAACAAUUUUAAUCCCAUUAUAUAAUAAAGAUCCUUUUAAAACUGAGUAAUUCUUGUUGUUUUAUAACCCAUUAUUUUGUCUUCCAGCACCGUCUUCCUGAGUUUCCUUUUUCUUUUGAUUUACAAUUAACAAAAGUGACUUUAUUCUGAAACACGUCUCUGCCCCUCAGUCCUGAACCUGUGUCAUACUCUUUUUAUGUUUAUAUCCUGGGGUGCAAGUCAACAGAUGGCGUUGUCGGUCCUCCAUCCCACUUCGUUAUAAUUUAAAUGUAACCACCAUCAUCACAGCUUAAUGAACCAUACACAGUAAAAACAGCAAUCACAGUAGUAUCAUACCUUGGCAAAUCGGUCUGAUAGUCCACUCUCCGUCCUCUUUGCAUGUAGUUACUAAUGAGGUGCCUUGACGGUUAGAAAUCCAGUACUUGUCUCCACAAUUUACCGUCACUUCGUCACCAGGUGAAAACGUGUUUCUAUAAGCAGGUUCAUACCUGGUUCCUUUCAGCGCUGGCAGUUGUAGUUUACUUUUUAUUGCUGUAUGUGUUGGAACAGUACACAUAUUAUACGUCAGAACCAACAUUUAUUGGUAAGUGUCACCAGCACAUUGGAUAACUCUGUUUAUCCUUACGUUCACACAAAGGUGUGGGGCUCCAUUCUGCUCUUACUCCUUGCUUUGUGCAUUUUGAAUCUCUGGCUUCAGUGCGUGUAAACGAGGGUUUACACCGAAACUCCAGGACUUGAUCUUCUUUGUACUCUUGGAUUUCUCCAAGCAUAUCACCAUUUUCAAUCUCGGGUGCUAUACAUAUUAUCUCUGUUGAAUAAUACCCAAGCAAGAAUAAACAUUUCUUUAGGAAAAGGCAAAUGGAAAGAAACACAAGACACUUUGUAUUUCCCGUUUCACACCCUGCAAUACCUUUGCAUCUUGGAACUUGGUCUACUCACCCUCCAUUUUCAUCACAAUAGAUCUGUUGGCCCAAUUAACACUUCAGUGUUGGAUUUGCAGCUGAAUCGAACUACAUUGCCAUAGGUUACUUCAUCCAUGUCCCCAUUCACAAGGACAUUAUUGUUCACAUGGACAUUAUUGUCCUCAUGGAUUACUGGACACUGUUGCGGUGAAACAAACAAAACCAAAACGAACCAUUUCAAAAUGAAUACUAGUCUCCAAGAAAGAAAUUUAGGAUCAGCCUUUGAGGGAAAAUAUAGUUGUUGGGUGCUGUACAUAUUAUCUCUUUUGCAUAAUACACACAAGCAAGAAUAAAGAUGUAUUUAGGAAAAGGCAAAUGAAAAAGCUGUAGUGUCGAUGCAGCCUGUAACAAUGGGGUGUUGGAGGGUAUGGUUGUAUAACAUCUGUUGAUGUUUUUUAACAGAAAGUUCAUAGCUGGUUCCUUCUGGUGUUGGCAGAUUUAGUUUACAUGUUUUUGUUGCACUGUCCUUUAGGACUAGUUUUCAGUUGUAUGAGUUGCUCAAUUCACACAUACAGUAUGUUCACUUUAAGUCCUGGAUCUGGUUUUAUUCCUAUAUAAUAAAUGUGUAUUAUAUAUAGAAAGGCAGAUGGACUAAUAAAUAAAUCCCCCUCUACCUUCCUGUUGUAACAAAGUAUCCAUCUUAAGGCAUAGUAUAAAUAACCUAACAAUGUAAAAAAUUACGAGCACCUCUCCCCUACAACACACAAACACAUACUCUCUCUCUUUCUCUCUGAUUGGUUUACCUAUAUAUACAUUGUGUGUAUUACAGUUUUUUACAGUUGCUAACACACUAAAAUGACAUGCAUAGCACAAUUAUUUAAACUGACACACAGAGAGCAAAACCUCUUAAGUCUCCAAAACUCUAAACACAUGUUCUGCUUUACACACAUUUUGCAAUUCAAAAUGGCACGUUUUAAAUGCACUGAACACGGUUUCCUUGCAUAAGACACAACAAUCUGACAUAAAGUCACAUGUUUGCCAUAUCAAAACACUGCCAUUCAAAAUAACAUUUCAUGAGCUAAUUGGCCAAAAUAUUUGCCACCUGGCCAAACACCUCAAUGCUUAGUUGUUAGCACUUCAAUCAGGAAGUAAGCACUAUAAAAGCACCACAGGUGAGCAUCUUUUUUUACAACAACAAUGGAAAACGUCGCAGAGAGAGGAAGAGUGAGAAUGAGAGGAGGAUGAAGAGUGAGAGGUAGGGGUAGAGCUGGUAGAGGAGUUCAUGGCCAAAGACAACAACUUUCCAAUGAAAUCAGAGCAACCUUAGUUGAUCAUGUCAUCAACCAUGGGCUGACAAUGCGAGAGGCUGGACAGAGAGUGCAGCCCAACUUGAGCCGUUUUACUGUCGCCUCUGUCAUUUGGACAUUUACACUGGAGCACAGGCAUGUAACUAAAGGACUGAGAGAUGCAACCAUGGUGGAGGAAGGGGCCUAAUGUUCACCGGGGUACAGGAAGCUGCCAUUGUAAACUUGGUUUCGGAAAGUAAUGAAAUCAGAUUAAGAGAUAUUCAAAGUCACAUCAUCCAAGACAACACCGUAUUCAACAGUUUGUCCACAUUGGCUCGCAUUUUCGAGCGAAACCAAAUCAGUAUGAAACAACUUUAUAAGGUGCCUUUUGAGAGAAACUCUGAAAGAAACAAAGAGCCCAUACCACCGUAUGAAUGAUGCAGAGCAUCGAAGAAACAGGUAUGUUAUAGUAUGGGACAACGUGAGCUUUCAUCAUGCAGCCCCAGUCCAAACCUGGUUUGCUAACCACCCACCAUUUGUCGUGCAAUACCUCCCACCAUACUCACCAUUUCUGAACCUCAUAGAAGAGUUCUUUUCAGCAUGGCAGUGGAAGGUUUACGACCGGCAGCCCUUUGUGCACAUGCCUCUUUUGCAGGCUAUGGAAGAGGCAUGUGAUGAAAUUGAUGUGGGUACGAUUCAGGGAUGGAUAAGGCACUCAAGGCGCUUAUUCCCUCGAUGUCUGGCAAGGGAAGAUAUUGCCUGUGAUGUGGACGAGGCGUUGUGGCCAGAUCCAGCUAUGCGGCGAGAUGCUGCCUAAUUACAGUAUUUUUCUCGCCUCUUUUUUUUAUAUAUAUUUUUUCUGCACAUUUUUUCUGUAAUUUUCUUUUUCAGUUUACUGUUUUUUGUUAGCAUAUUUUUGUU